CGUAUCUACAGGUGUAUUUUGGUAGCUGUUUGUCAAUCAAGUUCCUUUCACCUGUAAAUCCAUCAGGCUGUACAGGAAGCACAGCAGCUUCUGCUUCUGGGAGGCUUCAGGAAACUUACAAUUAUGAUGGAAGGUGAAGAGGAAGCAGGCAUGUCUUACAUGGCUGGAGCAGGAGCAACAGAGAGGAGGAGGGGAGGUGCUACACACUUUUAAAUGACAAGAUCUCGUGAGAACUCACUCGCUAUACAGCACCAACGGGUGCAGUGCUAAACCAUUCAUGAGAACUCUGCCUCCAGGAUCCAGUCACCUCCCAACAGGCCCUACCUCCAACAUUGAAGAUUACCAUUGGACAUGUGAUUUGUGUGAGGAAGCAGAUCCAAACUAUAUCAAUCCUCAAAACAACCUUAUGAGGUAGACAGUAUUAGUAUCAUCUACAUUUUUAGCUGGGAAUAUUGAAGAAUGACUACUGGCCAAAAAUGCUGGUGCUUAUAAGUAGUGGACAUGAGAUUUGAACCCAGACAAUCUAGCCAUAAGGUUAGCAACUGUCAAGGUUGCUAACUCCAAGGUUAGCAACUGUGCCAUCCUGCCUUGGGAAGAGCCUUUAGACAAUGAAAUUGUGGGAUGAUUGUUUGUUCUAGGAAUGGACUGAUACAUUAAAGACUGAGCUGUUCUCUGUCAUAGCAGCAGUGGGAUGAGAGUUGAGGAGCAAACCUUGUUUCAUUGCAGCAACAUAAAAAAAUAAAGACAGCCCAUCAGUAUUUGCAGUAUAGAACUUCAUCCUAAUUUUCCAGGGGUUUUAACCAUCUGCAUGAUGCAAGGUUAGUGAGUAGAACUUGGGGAUUUUUGAGAGGGGAGGUUGGAGUAGGAUUUCAGAACAAGAGGUUCUCAGGAAUUGGUGAUAUGAUCAGAAUUCAGAGGUAGAGUCCAAGAGGUGUUACUGAAACAGCAAGGGUUUGGUCUAGGUCCUGCUGCUCACUGCACAGAAUGCUAGUCACUGAGAUACAAGUAUUGCCAGGGAAAAAGGCUUUAAUCAGGUGCUAUAGCUGAGGAGGUGGGAGCCAGUCUGAAAUUCAUCUCUCUGACUGACUAAACUAGGACUCGAUAUAGCAGGGGAAAAAUGUAAAAAUAUGUAAAAAAUCAAAAAACAAAACAGGAACUGGUGGGCUAGGAGGCAUCUGGUGUAGUGAUCUGGUGAAUUUCAGUUCUUUGAUACUUUUUUUUGAGAGGUCUGAAGGUCCUUUCCUGAGGAAGUAUAUUAGUCUGUUUUCACACAGCUAUGAAGAACUGCCUGAGACUGGGUAAUUUAUAAAGGAAAGAAAUAUAAUUGACUCACAGUUCAGCAUGGCUGGGGAGGCCUCAGGAUACUUAAAAUUAUGGCAGAAGGUGUAGCAAGGCACCUUCUUCACAAGGCAAGAGGAAGGAGAAUGAACUACCAAACAUGUAUACAACCAUCAGAUCUAGUGAGAACUCACUAUCAUGAGAACCACAUGGGGGAAACUGCCCCCAUGAUUCAAUUAUCUUCAUCUGGUCUCUCCCUUGACAUGUGGGAAUUAUGGGAAUUAUGGGGAUUACAAUUCCAAGAUGAAGUUUUGGGUGGGGACACAGCCAAACCAUAUCAGAAAGGAACUCAGAUAAAACAAAUACAAGUUUCAAGCUUUAACAACAGAAGUGUCAAUUUCUAUGUUUAUCCCAUAAACAGUUUGUUCUAGGGAUGAACUGAUACACUAAAGAUAGAGCUGUCCUCUCUCAUGACAGUAAUGGGAUGCAAGUCAUGAGACUGUCCAUGGGACCAUUGGGUUUGUUUCAGAGGGAGAUCCAGGACUAUGUUGUGAACAGCAGGCAUAAUUACUAUAAGGGAUUUUGAUCUUUUUGAAGCUUAUUAAUAAUAAAAGUAGCCUUGUGUUACAUCUGCUGUGAAGCUUCCCGCCACAGGCAAUUUGAGGGCUGCCAAGUUACAGGACACAGGGGUUACCAUUCCCAUAGAAUAUUAAUCUGCCUGGAGUUGUGCAUAAAUGACCCUGCUGACUUGUAUGUGUCAGUGGAGAGGGAGUUUCAGAAUUUGCAGCAACUGCAGUUCCCCUUCAUGACUUUGGAAGAUAGGGAUGCCUGGAGUCCUCAUGCUCUCUCUAUCUCAGAACUCUCUUGAGUUGAUAAGGACUUUCCAAUCAGCCUUUUUUAUUAUCUCCUGCCUACUUUAACUUCAGACACAUUCACAUUCAUCAGUCUUGUCUUAUCUGAACAAUGAGCAGGGACUAGUGCCAGGCACAAUGGAAGAAGUAAUAUUCAGAGGCUUUAAUUAUAUUCACACUUAAGGAGUCUCCAGAAAGAACACUUUGCAAAUCAUAAACUAUCAGCACCAGAACUGCCACACACUUGUUUCUCAUUAUUGAUGAGCAGCUGGUUUGUUUGUGGGAUGCCUUUCAGGGUAUCCUUCAAGUGUUAACUUUGCAGCACCAUAGUUCUGGCUCUCUGGACAGAAUUGCUUUAGCCUGGUUACUUUGGUCAGUUAGAAGGAAUACACACUGUCAGUUUGAAUGCCACAAACAUUCACUGAGCACCUUCUAUAUGUCAGGGUCUCUCUGUGGUUCAGUGUUCCAUUUGGGAUGAAAGAAAAAUGAUCUCUGCUUUCAGGAGUGCACAGUGAAGAACUGAGGAAUAUAGAAGCAAAUCAACACAAAUCAACAGGAGAGGCACUGCAGAGGAGCUACUUUAAGGGAAUAGAGGAAGAUGUGGUCAACAUUUGGGGAGCUCUGACAGGCACCCAGAGAAGCAAAUGCUUGAGCUGGGUUCCUCUGGUCCAAUCCUUGUAGGUCUCUCCAUCUGCAUGGGAUCCCUCUAUUAGAGGGUCUUGACCUUGGCUUCAGAAUCAUCUGGAAAGUUUUGAAAGAUUCCAAUGCCUAGACUGCAGCCCAGACCAACUAAGACUCCCUGGGGGUGGUACCUUGGUGUCUGUAUUUUUAAAAAUUCCGCAUGUGAUAUUAAUUGGCAGUCAAGUUUGAAAAUCUCUGUCAUAAAUCAAGAAUUCAGUAAUUCAAAAUUAAGAGGAAGAUGACUGUUUUAUGGCUUGGAGAUUCUGUUGCUAUUUUCUGAGUGGGCUGGUAGAGAAAAGAAUAUUGUUGUUCAAAGGAGAUCAGUGGUUAUAUCUAGCCAGGUUCAAAUACAGGAGCAUCAUAUAAUUUUACUAACAGAGUCACCCUCCAUAUUAGAGGGUUUUACAUUCACAGAUUCAAACAACAGUGGAUAAAAAAUAUUCUAUUAUUAUUAUUUUAAAAACCAAUAAAAAUACAACAGUAAAAAAUAACAGUAAAAAACAAUUUGUGGUGUAACAACUAUUUACGUAACACUUAUACUCGACUAGGUAUUGUAAGUAAUCUAGAGAUGAUUUAAAAUAUAUGGGAAGAUGUGUGUAGGCCAAAUACAAAUACGACACCAUUUCAUAUUAGGGACUUCAGCAGACUUGGAUUUUGGUGUCCUUUAGAGUACUGGAAGCAAUCCUUUUGAUUACUGAGGGAUGACACAGAAUAAAAUUGGGAAAAUAACAGGAGGAGCUAGGCAUGGGAUAUGAGUUGUGAAGCAACCUGAAGUUAGUGAUUCUUACAUACUUUUUUUUAAAUCUCUCACUCCUAAAAAAUCUUGGGAAAGCUUGCAUCUUAAAGAAUAUUUAAGAAGAAACCAGAGAAGUUUCACCUAAGAAUACAUAAGAAGUUUUACUUAAGGUACAUAUAUAUUUAAAAUAUAUGGGAAGAUAUGGAAUAUAUAGUGUAUAUAUUCACAGGUACAUAUGUAUUUUUUGCAAAGAGUAUAGGGAUUCACUUUGCAUUUUUAUGUAAGUUUUGUAGAUGACUAUUUUUCUUUUGUCAGAAAAUACCACCCAUCUUCCUCACCUUCCUUGUAGUUGUGGAGAACUUGCAUGAAAGGCAGGUGAAGCCAGACAGUUUGAAUUUUUUUUUUUUAACACUAACCUGUGUCCUAUAGAGGAUGCCCCAUCUGGCUCCUUGAUCCUUUGCAAUCUUGAUGGGUCUUUUUAGCUCUUGAUCUGAAGCAGAAUGGUUCUGAAACAAACAGCUUAGACCCUUUGGGAAAUUAAUCAGACAGAGGAGGCAGUUCUGAGUCUCUAACAGAUACAUUAGGAGCGUUCUGAAGCUUGUCUAGCUUGACAGGAAAUUGCCUGGGGGAACUCUAAGAAAUCCAGACAGGCUUGGCUAAGGCAGGCAUUGAAGUCUGCAGUUGCUUAGAUUGUUCUACAUCAUUAGGACAUAGUAAAAAUUCAGUCCUAGAAGAUGCAAUCCAUUUGGUACAUGAUAUUGAUGGUACUGCAGAUAUUAGUAACAAAUUAGGUGGGCACUGGAAGGUCCUCAGUGUGGCCCUACUUUCUCAUAGCAUCCUUCAUGCUCGUUCUCAGCUUUCUCCAAGUUAAACAAGACAUGUUCAUGUUAGAGAGAUAUGGGUAUGAAGCUAGAAUAGAACUGUGGCUCUUGACGAGUCAUGAUAUGUGACUAUCUCGGGUAGGUGGUAGGUGAGUAGUGAGUGAGCACUGUCCGGGAGGGGGCCAGAGGGGAGUGAUGCUGCUACCUCCUCCCCUCCUGUAGCCCCAGGGCCCAUGGUCUUCACAGUUAUAGCCACUGCCCUCAGUCAGUGCCUCAUCAUCUCUCAGCAGGACAAGUGCCACAGACCCUUAACUGUUUUGGAGGUUCUCCUUGAGUCUUCCUGGUGUCAGUCCGACCCCCUCAUCAUGACCAGGUCUAUUUUACCAAACACCAAAUUGGUCACCAUCAGCACCCAUGGAUUGCAGGAUAAAAUCUAAACCCCUCAGCAUAAUAUAAAAACCCCUUCACGUCUGACUUCAAUAUUCCUGGUUCCCCUGGAGGGACUAAGUCCCGUGAUAGUCUUGUGAUAAUCCACCCCCGCCUCUUGAUUGCUUGCUGAUCUGCCUGUAGGGAGCCAGGAAAGACACAGAUGAGGAACCUGAGCCUGUUGGAGACCAGUCAUGCUCUUCUCUCUCUCUCCAUUUUACCUGUCCCUUAGGCACUGAGACACUGUUUGCAGUGGCUCCCACCUUCUAAUCUUGAAGGAGCUUACUUCUCUAAAAUCUACAACUUCUGUAGUGCUUUCUCACUCUAUGAUCUCUAUAUCCCCACAAAAGAAGAAGAUUUUGUCAAAUCUGACCUUCUGUCAUUUGUGUUAAAAAAACACUGAAUAUGAGUUUUCAAACUAGUAUGUAUACUUCCCACUGCCAGAGGACAAUUUGAAACUACUCUUAUCUCCUCCUUCCUUAAGAGUCACUACUGUAGGGAAACAUCAGGAGGUUUUAAUGAUACAUUAACUCGUGGAAAAUAUUAAUUAAGCUUCUAAGAUAGAGCUAGAAUUAAGCUCAGAUUCCACACUAUCUACUUCGCACAGACAGUGCUUUAUGCUUGCCUCUGGCUUUAGUCUGUUGGCUGCCAACCCAUAGCCCCAACCAGAGGGAGAUUUACAGUGAAAACAGUGGAGCUUACAUUUUAGAAACUCUGCUUUGACUGUGUCCUUCCGAAGUCUCUGCAAAUAGCUAUAGCAAUGUGAUACGUGGUUACAUGUUUGUAAAGUUGGUAAAAGUGAGACAUUUUAACUGCAUUAGGAACAAUAUCUCUUUCCCUAUUGAUUUCCCUUCUGUAUACCUCCCUUGGUGACAGGUAGUGGUAGAAUAGGUAUUCUGGCGACUCAUCUGAAGGGAAGUUUAACUGAGGAUACAUUUAAUGAGUUCAGUGGGAUUUAUUCAUGCACUUUACAAUCACUUCUGUGUACAGUUAAGUUACUGUGUAUGGCCUCAUGAUAUUCCUAUAGAGGGUCUGGAACCAGAAUCUCUUGGGACAGGGCUAGAAAGGUCAGGCUUCAUGAGAUCUGGGAUAAACCUUUCAGUUGUGUAUAUAUUUGCUUGUUGGCUUAUCAUUGAGUCCUCAGGACUGUGUUGGCUCAAAGUAGGUGUUUAAUAAAUGCUUAUGAAAUGAAUUUUUAUUCACAUAAAGCCUUGAGGAUGACUGUUUCUGCCUAUUUAAUAUCUUAUAGGGUAAGACUGCAGAUCAAGCUUUUCCAAUGUGGUGCUGACGUUUUGAGAACAGUUAGUGAGAAAUAGGAAAGUCCUUGAAGACCAUCUAACUCAGUGGCUUUCAAAUGGAAAGCAUGGAAAGACAACAGAAUUACAGGGAGUCUUCUUCAAACUGGGAUGCCAUAUUCUGUACAACUUCAUGUGAAGGUGUGGAGGAUGGGUAAUGUCUGAAUCUUCCAGACAAUGGGAGGGAUGGUGUGAGUUUGGAAAUUAUUCAUGAUGGUUCUGAGGCUCCCUUUAUUCCAGUUAAGAACACUGACUUAAUUCGAUCUGUUUUAUAAUACAUGGCCUCUGAGACAUAGAGCAGUGAGGAUAAGGACUCUUAGUUACAGAGCAGAGUCAGGGCUAGAACUCAAGCCUUAAAAAUUUCAAAAACAAUGUUCUUUCUAUGAUACUGUGCCUUGCUUCUGCACUUCUGGGUAUAGGCAACUUCCUUUUUCUUUAAUUCUCUACUAUUUGGAGGGAACAUCACAACUUAUACAAUUGCUUUGUAUUGUUUUACAUUACUUCCAUGGUUUCUUAUACAUAAAUAUAGUAUUUUCUUGUAUUUUAAAUUUUCUAAGAACAGGUAACACAUUUUAAACUUCCUUUGCAUAUCUGCAGGUAACUAGUACAUUGAUGAUAAGCUGAUAUUAAGAGAGCUAAAUAGUUGAUUAGUUUAUUAAUAUCUCAAAAUGUUAAUACAUUUUUAUUUUAUUUAUUAAUAAAAAUUUUAUUUAUUAAUGAAAUAAAUAAUAGCCUUUUACCACAUCCAUCAAAUGUGGUAAAAUGCUAUUAGGUACAACAUUUCAAGUAUAGGUACAACAUUUAGGUACAACAUUUCAAGUAUAUAUGCAAUUCUUGUUGGAAAUAUUAUCCAACUGUAAAAUACAUGUUGAUUAAAGACUAACAUGGGCUGUGGGCAUAGGUACAGCAACAGCAUACCAUAGACCAGAGAAAGAGUUGUCUUUGGAGGUCCAAGAUCAAGAAGCAGGAUGUGUAACAGGGCCCUUGAGAAUUCUAGCGCAGCCAGUACUCGAAAGUCAAGAUUUGAUUGAGAAUAAUUUCAUGGAGCUCUGUUGGUUAGUAAGCAAGGCCUGCCCCACACUUGUGGGUAACAUGGAAGCUACCUGAGCAGGUCAAGGCUCAGAAGACCCAUGACCAGAACUCGGGUUUUUGAACAUGAAACAGAUAAUUCACCAAGAACUUGGUUACCUUCUUGUACAUUUUAUGCUUUUAUAUUUCUUCUUCCCUUUCAUUUUCAUACAAUGAUGCAUUUAUAACUUGUAGCUAGAUUUUUAGAUUACUGCCAGAUGAAUUCAGUCAAUUUAAUUAAUUAAGCAAAUUAAAAUAAAAAUUAUUUUUUAGGGGCUGUUAAAACUUAAAAGAUGUUAAUACAUUAUUCUCAUGUGCUUUUAUUAUUAUUAUAAAUGUUGUUUCAUUGUUAGCCCUGUGCUAAUUGUUAGUUUGGGGAAUGAUUUACAUGUUUAAACCUGGGAGAAAUCAUUUUUGCUAUGGCUAAAAUGAUUUUAAUUUACUUGUAUUUUUGUUCAGCACAGUGUCUUUUGCAACCACGUAAAUUUUGAUUAGAGCCUGAAAUAAUUCAGUAAAAUAAGAUAAUGCUU